GAACACAUGGCUCAGUGCAUGGUCAUGGGCGUUAGGCCAGUAACCCAAAGAUUGCUGGUUAAAAUCCGCUGUGGUCA
rnacentral:tRNA from 1 species